AUCAUUAUUGAAUAAACGUGAUAGGUUGUUGCUGGCUCUCCUCUACAAAGGGGAGGCAUGUGCACACUUGUCGUCUUUAUUUUUCCACCUGUGCACUUUUUGUAGACCCUAGAGAAAAGUUAUUGUCUGAUAUAAUCAGAUAGAUUGAGGACUGCUGUGUCUUUCAAAGAAGACCAGCUUUGCCUUGUGUAUCUAGGUUCUAUGUCACUCACAUACUCCUAUAAAUGUAAUAGAAUGUUGACCUGGGUCUUUGUACCUAUAAAGUUAUAUACAACUUUCAGCAACGGAUCUCUUGGCUCUCGCAUCGAUGAAGAACGCAGCGAAAUGCGAUAAGUAAUGUGAAUUGCAGAAUUCAGUGAAUCAUCGAAUCUUUGAACGCAUCUUGCGCUCCUUGGUAUUCCGAGGAGCAUGCCUGUUUGAGUGUCAUUAAAUUCUCAACUACAUUGAUUUUGUUGGUGUAGCUUGGAUUUGGGGGAGAUCAUACUUUUGUUCUUUGCAGGCUUUUGUAAAUGAAGUCAGCUCCCCUGAAAUUGAUUAGCGGUACCUCAGUAGAACCGUCUACAGGUGUGAUAAUUUAUCUACACCUUAGAUGUCUGCAUGAAAAGGUUAUGCUGCUUCUUAACCCUUGCUCCUUACUUGAAGAAGGAGGGAGCACUAAUGACAA
rnacentral:rRNA from 1 species